UACAGAGGUCCCAAGCGUUGUUCGAAUUCACUGGGCGUAAAGGGUGCGUAGGUGGUCAGGUAAGUCUGAUGUGAAAUCUCUGGGCUCAACCCAGAAACUGCAUUGGAUACUAUCUGGCUAGAGGAGUGGAGGGGGGACUGGAAUACUUGGUGUAGCAGUGAAAUGCGUAGAUAUCAAGUGGAACACCAGUGGCGAAGGCGAGUCCCUGGACACUUCCUGACACUGAGGCACGAAAGCUAGGGGAGCAAACAGG
rnacentral:rRNA from 1 species